rnacentral:rRNA from 1 species
UACGUAGGGUGCGAGCGUUGUCCGGAAUUAUUGGGCGUAAAGGGCUCGUAGGCGGUCUGUCGCGUCGGGAGUGAAAACUCAGGGCUUAACCCUGAGCCUGCUUCCGAUACGGGCAGACUAGAGGUAUGCAGGGGAGAACGGAAUUCCUGGUGUAGCGGUGGAAUGCGCAGAUAUCAGGAGGAACACCGGUGGCGAAGGCGGGUCUCUGGGCCGAUACUGACGCUGAGGAGCGAAAGCGUGGGGAGGCGAACAGG